rnacentral:rRNA from 1 species
UAGGGAAUCUUGCGCAAUGGGCGAAAGCCUGACGCAGCAACGCCGCGUGGGGGAUGAAGGCUCUCGGGUUGUAAACCCCUUUCAGCAGGGACGAACACUGACGGUACCUGCAGAAGAAGCCCCGGCCAACUACGUGCCAGCAGCCGCGGUAAUACGUAGGGGGCAAGCGUUGUCCGGAUUUAUUGGGCGUAAAGAGCUCGUAGGCGGCUCGGUAAGUCGGAUGUGAAACCUCCAGGCUCAACCUGGAGACGCCAUCUGAUACUGCCGUGGCUUGAGUCCGGUAGAGGAGCAGGGAAUUCCUGGUGUAGCGGUGAAAUGCGCAGAUAUCAGGAGGAACACCAGCGGCGAAGGCGCUGCUCUGGGCCGGUACUGACGCUGAGGAGCGAAAGCGUGGGGAGCGAACAG